GGAAGUAAAAGUCUAACAAGGUUUCCGUAGGUGAACCUGCGGAAGGAUCAUUAUCGUACAAAAUGUGAGGGGCAUGCGAGGGCUGUCGCUGACCCAAAAGUCGUGCACGCCCGAGUGUGUCCUCUUGCAUAAUAAUCCAUCUCACCCUUUGUGCAUCACCGCGUGGGCACCCUUCGGGAUCAUCUCGGAGGGGGGCUCGCGUUCUCACACAAACCCCCCUUUUAAAAGUGUAGAAUGACCACAUUUAUGCAAUCAAUACAACUUUCAACAACGGAUCUCUUGGCUCUC
rnacentral:misc_RNA from 1 species